CCUACGGGGGGCUGCAGUCGAGAAUUUUUCUCAAUGGGGGCAACCCUGAAGGAGCGACGCCGCGUGGAGGAUGAAGGCUUUCGGGUUGUAAACUCCUGUCAUUUGAGAACUAGUAUCAGAAGAGGAAGGGACGGCUAACUCUGUGCCAGCAGCCGCGGUAAUACAGAGGUCCCAAGCGUUGUUCGGAUUCAUUGGGCGUAAAGGGUGCGUAGGUGGCGUCGUAAGUCGGGUGUGAAAUCUCGGGGCUUAACUCCGAAACUGCAUUCGAUACUGCGGUGCUUGAGGACUGGAGAGGAGACUGGAAUUUACGGUGUAGCAGUGAAAUGCGUAGAGAUCGUAAGGAAGACCAGUGGCGAAGGCGGGUCUCUGGACAGUCCUGACACUGAGGCACGAAGGCCAGGGGAGCAAACGGGAUUAGAUACCCCUGUAGUC
rnacentral:rRNA from 1 species